rnacentral:rRNA from 1 species
AAAUGAAUUGACGGGGACCCGCACAAGCGGUGGAGCAUGUGGUUUAAUUCGAUGCAACGCGAAGAACCUUACCUGGCCUUGACAUCUGUCGAAUCCUGCAGAGAUGCGGGAGUGCCUUCGGGAACGACAAGACAGGUGCUGCAUGGCUGUCGUCAGCUCGUGUCGUGAGAUGUUGGGUUAAGUCCCGCAACGAGCGCAACCCUUGUCCUUAGUUGCCAUCAUUAAGUUGGGAACUCUAAGGAGACCGCCGGUGACAAACCGGAGGAAGGUGGGGAUGACGUCAAGUCAUCAUGGCCUUUAUGGCCAGGGCUACACACGUGCUACAAUGGCAGGUACAGAGGGAAGCCAACUCGCGAGAGGGAGCCAAUCCCAGAAAGCCUGUCGUAGUCCGGAUCGGAGUCUGCAACUCGACUCUGUGAAGUCGGAAUCGCUAGUAAUCGCAGAUCAGCAUUGCUGCGGUGAAUACGUUCCCGGGUCUUGUACACACCGCCCGU